rnacentral:rRNA from 1 species
UACGGAGGGUGCAAGCGUUAUCCGGAAUCAUUGGGUUUAAAGGGUCCGUAGGCGGAUAGAUAAGUCAGAGGUGAAAUCCUGCAGCUCAACUGUAGAACUGCCUUUGAUACUGUUUAUCUUGAGUUAUUGUGAAGUGGUUAGAAUAUGUAGUGUAGCGGUGAAAUGCAUAGAUAUUACAUAGAAUACCGAUUGCGAAGGCAGAUCACUAACAAUAUACUGACGCUGAUGGACGAAAGCGUGGGGAGCGAACAGGAUUAGAUACCCCGGUAGUCC